rnacentral:rRNA from 1 species
AGAAUCAACGCUGGCGGCGUGCCUAACACAUGCAAGUCGAACGAGAAAGGGGUAGCAAUACCCUGAGUAAAGUGGCGCACGGGUGAGUAACACGUGACUAACCUACCCUGGAGUGGGGGGAUAACUGAGGGAAACCUUAGCUAAUACCGCAUAAUACCUACGGGUCAAAGGAGCAAUUCGCUUUGGGAGGGGUCGCGGCCGAUUAGUUAGUUGGCGGGGUAAUGGCCCACCAAGACGAUGAUCGGUAUCCGGCCUGAGAGGGCGCACGGACACACUGGAACUGAAACACGGUCCAGACUCCUACGGGAGGCAGCAGUGGGGAAUUUUGCGCAAUGGGGGAAACCCUGACGCAGCAACGCCGCGUGGAGGAUGAAGUACUUCGGUACGUAAACUCCUUUCGAUCGGGACGAUUAUGACGGUACCGAGAGAAGAAGCCCGGCUAACUUCGUGCCAGCAGCCGC